rnacentral:rRNA from 1 species
GUGCACGCUGGCGGUAGGCCUAACACCUGCAAGUCGCACGGCAGCACAGGAGAGCUUGCUCUCUGGGUGGCGAGUGGCGGACGGGUGAGGAAUACAUCGGAAUCUACCUUUUCGUGGGGGAUAACGUAGGGAAACUUACGCUAAUACCGCAUACGACCUACGGGUGAAAGUGGGGGACCGCAAGGCCUCACGCGAUUAGAUGAGCCGAUGUCCGAUUAGCUAGUUGGCGGGGUAAUGGCCCACCAAGGCGACGAUCGGUAGCUGGUCUGAGAGGAUGAUCAGCCACACUGGAACUGAGACACGGUCCAGACUCCUACGGGAGGCAGCAGUGGGGAAUAUUGGACAAUGGGCGCAAGCCUGAUCCAGCCAUACCGCGUGGGUGAAGAAGGCCUUCGGGUUGUAAAGCCCUUUUGUUGGGAAAGAAAUCCUGUCGAUUAAUACUCGGUGGGGAUGACGGUACCCAAAGAAUAAGCACCGGCUAACUUCGUG